rnacentral:piRNA from 1 species
UAGCCCCAUUGCUAUGUUGUAGGAGAUGGU